CGGCCGUUUUCAAUAACGUAUCUGAGUUUUCGGAUAGAUAGCUAUCUCCGAAUAUCAGCAAGAGCGUAUCUAUCCUUAGUUUGCGUUUCACAAUCACGGAUAAGUGCUAUCUCUCUUUAACCAACAGUAGAUAGCUUCUUCCCUCCGAUUUAUCCGAGCCUCUUGAUACGUUUCGUUCUACUACAAAUACGAAACAACAUCAGGAUCAAGACUUAUUUUAUUUUAUUCUAAAUUAUAACUAUAAUUUAACCAGCAUAUUGUAGACUAUCAUAAACACAUUUGUUUAUAACAAAAAGUAAUAAAAACAUAUGUAGAUUUUUUUAAAUUGGACGUAUUGCUAUUUUUAUCCUAGUCGAAAUUAUGAAACGAAACGUUUUGACAGUCCGUUUGCCAAUAAGCAGUGAUCAGUUUCUUUUGUUUGUUUUUCUAUUGUUUACCUACUAUAUUCGAUGAUGACUUACCUCCAAAACGCUUUAAAACUUUCGUUUAUAAUUCUAAGUGUGUUUAUAAUUAAAGAGCUACAGUGAAAUAAAAUGAAUUCCUCAAGAAAGGCAGCACCCAUGACAAAAGAUGAGACGAUGAUUCUAGCAGAACUUGUGGCGGCGAAAAAACAUUUCAAUAAUAAGGCAACAAAUGCCACAAACAAUAAAUUGAUGGAGCAGGCUUGGCAAACCCUUGUAAAUGAUUUUAAUUCGUCGAUUCAUCGUUUCCCACGAACUCCAUCGCAGCUUCGACUAAAAUGGGAAAACUUAAAGAACGCUACGGCAACAUAAGAAACAACCUUAGUAAGGCUGGAGGUGGUAAGGAUUGCAGAUGAAAUUUUGGAUAAAGCAUGCACAUUGUUGUAGGUCACAUAUAAUAUUUUUAACACUUUUACAGCCAAGCGGAAACAAGAUGGAAGAAAAGAAAUACAAGGCUAGCAUAGGGACAAUGCAUUAGCAGAAUAUCUAAUAGCAAAAAAGAGACUUGACUUGGAAAAUAAAGAAAAGGAGAUUGUUGUAGCAAAAGUUAAGUUAGAUUUAGAUAAUUUAAAAAAUUAAAAAUUACUUAAAAGGAAUAUUAAAUUUCAUAAAUUAAGUAGGCAAUAAUAAUUUUAUGUUAGAUAGUUUUUUAAGUAUAUGUACAAAUUCUAAAUUAAAUAUCUUGCAUGUACUAACUACCAUGUAAUUAUCAUUUUGGAAAAUAAAAAAUAGUCAAAUUA